UACGAAGGGGGCUAGCGUUGCUCGGAAUCACUGGGCGUAAAGGGUGCGUAGGCGGGUCUUUAAGUCAGGGGUGAAAUCCUGGAGCUCAACUCCGGAACUGCCUUUGAUACUGAAGAUCUUGAGUUCGGGAGAGGUGAGUGGAACUGCGAGUGUAGAGGUGAAAUUCGUAGAUAUUCGCAAGAACACCAGUGGCGAAGGCGGCUCACUGGCCCGAUACUGACGCUGAGGCACGAAAGCAUGGGGAGCGAACGGG
rnacentral:rRNA from 1 species